rnacentral:rRNA from 1 species
CGGAGGUGCGAGCGUUAAUCGGAAUUACUGGCGUAAAGCGUACGCAGGCGGUUGUUAAGCGAGAUGUGAAGCCCGGGCUCAACCUGGGAACUGCAUUUCGAACUGGCAAACUAGAGUGUGAUAGAGGUGGUAGAAUUUCAGGUGUAGCGGUGAAAUGCGUAGAGAUCUGAAGGAAUACCGAUGGCGAAGGCAGCCACCUGGGUCAACACUGACGCUCAUGUACGAAAGCGUGGGAGCAAACGGGAUU